rnacentral:rRNA from 1 species
CCUACGGGAGGCUGCAGUGAGGAAUAUUGGUCAAUGGGCGGGAGCCUGAACCAGCCAAGCCGCGUGAGGGAAGAAGGUACAGCGUAUCGUAAACCUCUUUUGUCAGGGAACAAAGGCGGGGACUAGUCCCCGGAUGAGGGUACCUGAAGAAAAAGCAUCGGCUAACUCCGUGACAGCAGCCGCGGUAAGACGGAGGAUGCGAGCGUUAUCCGGAUUUAUUGGGUUUAACGGGUGCGCAGGCGGCCUGUUAAGUCAGCGGGAAAAGCCCGGGGCUCAACCCCGGCGAGCCGUUGAAACUGGCGGGCUGGAGUUGGAGAGAGGUACGCGGAAUGCGCGGUGUAGCGGUGAAAUGCGUAGAGAUCGCGCAGAACCCCGAUUGCGAAGGCAGCGUACCGGCUCCACACUGACGCUGAGGCACGAAAGCGUGGGUAUCGAACAGGAUUAGAUACCCGGGUAGUC